AUGCAAUCCAAGAGAAGGAGCCUCUUGGCAGCCUUGGUCUUGGCCACCAGCUUGCUAUCGGCCGAAGCCCUCCGCGUCGUGGCCAACCCCCCAAACCCUCGUCUUGGCCAGUCGGUCACUCUGUCCUUGCAGGAUGUCGAUUACCCCUACAUCUGCUUUUGGAGCAGAGGCAACAAAUUUGACAAGGGGAGGAUGAUCUUUCAAGCAGUAAGCGGCCAAGUGACCGGCCGGGGCGGGGGCUUCACCGGCCGUGAACACCUGGGAAGGGACUGCGCCCUCACCAUCAACAACUUGCAGGCCUCGGAUUCCGGGGACUACAGCCUGGUCAUACUGGAUGGGCGCCCGGGCCGGACACAGCGCUGGACGGAUGACGUGAUACGGCUGCAUGUGGCCUAGUGAAAAAGGUUAUCUGGAGAUUACAUUUCUGGAUCUCCUUGCAUGGUGUCACCUGUGGAAAGAGAGGCCACCGACUGAUGACCAGCCAUGAAUCCCAAGGAUGAAUCAGCCACCCCGUUUCCCCCCUUCCUUCAUUCUAACACCUCCUCCCCAUAAAAUCCCCAAACUCCAAUUAAAAUGCGCAUGGCCAGUUCAAAAUCCACUCUGAAGAGUCAUUUGUGUAUGGGUGAGGGUGUGUUGUUCAUGUUUGUGCCAUUUAGUGACACUGGCAAGCUCUCUUUGGUUGUGGAUAGGCGGGAACUGCAACAAAAUGUUGUAGCAGAGCGAAGCAGUCUGGAUAGCUCAGUGGUUUAGGAAGAAGUUGGGGGUUCGAUUCCCCCACGGGACCUCCUUGAAGGGGGCUGGACUUGAUGAUCGACAGGGUCCCUUCCAGCAUUGCAGUUCUAAGGUUAUUAUUAUAUAAUUUCUCCAGCAUUGCAGUUCUAAGAUUAUUAUUAUACAACUCUUAUUUUGGACAUUUUGCUCCAUUUCUCCUCCCUUCAUUCAGGUCUUCCAUUUCUUUUAACAGUCUGCCAUCAUUUUGUGACUUCGGAGCCCACUCUGUCCUCGUUGAGCUGUUGGGCUUCCCCUGCAUUUAAGGACACUUCCCCACGUUCGUGCUUUGGUACUACAAUAUCGACUUUGCUAUUAGAGUGGAGGGUUAGAAAGGGACAGGAAGUUGCCAGCAUUUUCUAAUCAAGUCAAACUCAAAAGAAGCUAAACUUUGAAAACCUCUCCCUGCAAAGUUCUUGAGAGUUAG
rnacentral:lncRNA from 1 species